ACAGAGGAGGCAAGCGUUGUUCGGAAUCACUGGGCUUAAAGCGCGUGUAGGCGGCUUAGAAAGUGUCGUGUGAAAUCCCGCGGCUCAACAGCGGAACUGCACGGCAAACUACUUGGCUUGAGUUGGUUAGAGGUGUCAGGAACUCUAGGUGUGGGGGGGAAAUGUGUAGAUAUCUAGCGGAACGCCAGAAGCGAAAGCGGGGAACUGGGCCAAUUCUGACGCUCAUACGCGAAAGCGUGGGGAGCAAGCAG
rnacentral:rRNA from 1 species